rnacentral:tmRNA from 1 species
GGGGAUGACUGGUUUCGACUUGGAAUGGUUGUUCCAGGAGAAGCGGGCCGAGGACCCAGGGUCAACUCGUUAACGAUCCUUGGAAACCUAUAAGUGCCGAGAACACUCGCACUGACUUCGCUCUC